UGUCAUUAAAGCUCUUGCACAGGUCACAGAGCAAGGCACAAUAGAAGAUUUUGCCACUAAUUAUUUCAAAACUAAAAGUGAACAUGUGCUCUCACACACAUACAUAUCCAGAUAUACAUUCAUGUAAAUAAUUUAUUUAUCAUACCUAUUUAUAAUACAUGAAUCUUUUAUAUUUUAUGGUGAUCCCAUUGCUGUUUGCAGAUUUACAUCUCUUAUUAAAUUCCCCAUGCAACAAAAACACCAGACUAUGGAAAUCUAUAGCCCUUACAAACUGACUCAAGUCUUGUACUCCAAGUGGUCUCACUGUCUGCAAUAUUCUUUUCUAAAUUGUGCCAUUACAUCCCACAAAUUGACUUGUAAUGAAAGGUAAUAUCUUUUUAUUCUCUUACAGCUUUGUGGGAGAAAGGAAGAAAGAAUCUGUCCCAUAAAGGACAGCACAACAGUUUCAGAGCUGAACUCUCUACCACAUACAUCUGUGUCUGCUGCUCUGCAGAUACAGACACAGCCAAUCUCAAGUCAGCCCUGUGAGAAGAUGGGGAUGUUUACUAUGUUGAAGAGAUCAGCAGUAGAUUUAGUGGAGAAAGUGAAGCCUUUGGGCAGAUGAAAAACAUUUCUAAAAAGUCUCGUUUCCAGGCAGAAAAUUUGACUAGUGAUGCAGAGAGCACAGCACAAGCUAAAAAUUGUUUGUGUGUGAAGACAAUGCCUCAUUGUCAAACCCAAUGAUGGGAAAUAGGAACAUUACGGGUUUUUUUUUGAGAAAUGGUUUCAAUAUUUAACCUGUUUUUUUUCUGCCCAUAGGACAAAAAUAAAUAAAUCUGUUCCGUCACCAGGAGAGAGCACAUUGACUCCCACUGCUUGCAUGGCCCUGCAGGUACAGCCAGCAGGAUCCCCUACAUAGGUUCCAUGAGUUCCUAGAAGGACCUUUAGAAGUCUCCGAGGAAGCAGUUCCUGCAGGAGAAAUUCCUUGCCACGAGUCCAAGCAAGAAGCCUGCAAAAGAGGAAAGCCAGUAAAGGUCUUUUCUAUACAUCCUUCCCACUGAAGAGAGAGCUAACACAAGCUGCUUCUUGCUUUAGCAUCCUCAAUGCCAGCAUUUACGUCAGCCGAGUCUUCACAGCUGACAACUGACGUCACUGGAGAGUCUGCAACAUUUCUACUAGGAAAGUCUCAGAAAAGAGAAGAUCUCUUUUCCCAAACAAACCAGAUUCUUCUCCCUCCCUAGUAUAUGCUAUGAAUGUGUUGGCCCCUCUCAGCAGCCGUGCCUAAUUGCAAGGUCACACCUCUCUUUAAUGAGUUUCCUAAAAGUUUCUUACAAGUUUCCUUAGCGACACAGGUAGGGCUUCGUUGAUCUCCAGCCAGGGCUGUCAUUAGAGGAGGAUGGGGUUCCAAUUUCUCAUUAAUGAAAAUUAUAAUUAUGUAGAGAUAAAGGAGAAAGAGAUGGUUCCAUGUUACUUUAAACAAAGAAGAGUCAAGGCCUUAUCUUAACUAUGCAUUGGCACUGCAAUGCGAAAUGGUCAUGCAAAAUUAAUUUUUAAUGUGUUCAAUUUAUAUUAAAAAUUUCUGCAAGUGUGUGAAUUUUUUUUCUAAGGCUGGAGUGCUACUUCAUUUACAAUAUUCCCUGAAGGUGUUUUUUUUUUUUUUUAAAGAGACUCUUAAACUGAAGCCAUUUUAAGGGUUUUAUGAGACAUUAUGUGAGCUUUCAUAUGCAAGUUAGUCGUUAAGUACCAGAUAUUAUAUUCUGUAAUAUGCUUAAGUGAUAUUAGAGGCUGUAUAUAGCCUGCAGUAAUGGCUAUUGCUGCUUUUUUAAUUUAUCAAGAAAAUGUUGCUUAAAUAAGGAGCAAAUCAGUGCUUGGGUGUAGAAAAUAUAAAUGGAAAGGAAGUAACAAUGUUGUUGUGACAUACCUUGCACUCUCAGAUUUACCAAGGAGCAAAACCAGGGUCUGCUUUCUCCUUCUAUUGAAACACAUGGCAAGUCCCAUCUAUGCAGUGCUGGAGAUAUCUGAAAAAGAGAAAUUUCACUGAAUAGUACUAAACAGUAUGGCCACUGCUCCUCAACACUUCAUGAGAAUUAAUAUUAUGCCUCUGGUAACCGGAUUAUUUUGUACAAUUCCUGCCAUUCAAACAAAGUAGCAUCUCAUACUUGGUCUUAAACGAGUGAAGUCUUUGAAUGUUCAGCCUACAAAGGGAAAUGUUUAUGCUGAGCUGGAUUCACUGGUCAAAGUAUAAAAGCUCGGAUGAAAGAACCCAAAAAACAACCCUCACAUGGUGAACAAACUUGGUAUUUUUUCUCCCCUCCUCCCCAUUGAAGAGUCAGAGGAACAAAAAAAAAAAACCAAACAAAACUUCAAUCUGACAAGCUUGUAGAAAUAUAAAAGUCAUUCAACUUUCCUUUCAAAUGUGCCUCUUGCUCCAUGUUCUGACACAGAAACAAAGUGUUUCUGUAGUUCUGCAGGGAAGUGGGACACAGGCACAUUUUACAGUGGCAGCCCUGAGCAAUGACACCUUAUUCUGCCCCAACCACAGAAGAGCUCCUGCUGGUUGCCAUGUUCCCCUCUAAGCCCGGACCACUCUUCUGUGCCCAGCUGCAAACUCCCUCUUUCAUGCAGAGUUAUGAUUGAAGAAAUGUAUUUCAAAUGAAAAAUAAUCUUUUCCAUUUUCUUUCCCUCUACCCAGCUGCUGAUUCCCCACCCUGAAUCCUGUUCUGGAGCUGUGAUUAAUACUUUUUUUAAUUUAUUUUUUUCUUUUCAAAAUCACAUCAUCCUUCUCUUGCUGUCCCUGCCUCUCCUCUCCCUCCUCCUCUUCUCAGUCUUCCUCACAGUUGUGGAUCCUCCCUUCUUCCUCCAGUCACCAUCACUGUUGUCCCUGCUCUCCUCCCUCCCCCAGCUUGCUGAAACAUUUCAGGGAAAAGCAAUCCAGCUUCAUCCAGGCUUUAUGGCACUGCCUCUCCUCUUGCCUGCACUUACCCUCACUGCCUGCCUCUGGGAGGAACAAGACCCUCAGCACACUGGAACCCUCCUUCCUAACGAACCACCUUGCAAACGAGCACCAAGUUAGGCACCAAAUCAUCAAUAUGGACCUCAGCAAGCCCCAGCAGAGGGAUUUGAGGACCCUCCAUUGAAGAGCAAUUUUGCAGGGAACACAUGGGCUCUCCAACAUGAUGCAGCAAGAGCCCAGGAUAAACAUCUCCAGGCUCCCUCCUCCUGGUCUCCACCUGCUCCAUGACCUCACGCAGAAUGCCUGAAAUCUGGGUAAUGCAAAAAAUCAGUGGUCCAGAGGGACCUUCUUGGCAAGGAGGAGUUAGUCAUGGAGCAACAGGUCUGUGCUCCAGGGGAGAGGAGGUCAGGAAAGGGUUAGCCACUUUUUCUUGCAGGAUAAAGCUUCCCUUGGCCAUUUUUUUUCAGUUUAUGACUACUAAGAAUUCUCUUAAUGGACCAGAAAACUUGGCUUCAGCCUCCCCAGUCUACAGUAGCUAUCAGGAGAACUAUAUAUUAGAGCCAGAUGACAAAAUGUGCCUCCUUUCAUCACAAAAUUUUCAUUGAUGGCUCCAUAAAGUAGUCUACAUGGGAAACACAGCAGGUUUUGGUGUCUACAGCCCAUACAUGGAGAUUUCUUGUGGUUAGAGGAGAAGAUGCUGCUGUGAACUGCCCAUCACACCUUCGUUGGCUUAGUUUUCUUUUCUCUGCGGAUGGUCCUGCAGUGCAUUCCCACCUUGCUUGGUUGGGAGAGUCACAGUGCACCAAAUCCACAUUUGACCUUUUCUGGUGCAAAUUCACAGGGAGCUUGGACUGGAAACUAACAGAAGAAAACAAAACAAGCAGAUAGAAAACAGCCAUAAAUGUAAUGAAUCAAUCAGCACCUGGAUCACCUCUUGAACCCGUUCUGCACCAGGCUCCCUCUCUGUGGUGACCCCAAGUAUUGGUCUUCUCUGCUGCAGACCCCCUUCCAGCUGUUCCCAGGCUCUCAUUUCAGGAGCCAGCUUUCAUCCAGUUGAAAGCUCUUUCAUAUGUUCUAAGCCAUUUUAGCCUUUUCCCCACGGAUCUCUGUGCAAGUCUCUGUAUGCUGGUUCCCUGCUAGUGACCAUGCAGUCCAAGAGCAGCUCAGCUCUUCUACGGUCACCAGCUUAACGUGGAGCUUGAACUGGCUUAAUCCUUGAGAGGCAACACCAAGCAGCUGCUUCUCUUCUCCCUGCCAGCCCCUUUGCACACAUUUCAAUAAAGCAUUUUCACUUUCUUCACCUGA